CCCAGAGAAGGAAGAGGAAACUCCCCGUGCGGGCUCUGUUCUAGACACACGUCCUCUCAUUUCAGCCUCCCAGGAAGGGAUUCCACCCCCCACCCCCCAUCUUGUGGGACACGAAGCAGAGACUUGCAGGAAGCUGAAGGCAGGCUCAGCACCCCGUGCUCGCUCCCCUUGACGAGACCAGCCCAAAGUCCACUCCUCCAGGCCUUGAUUUCCCCAGCUGUGAAGGGGCAAGACAGAAUUACAGGGGCCCUGCCAUGGCACAGAACGUGAACAGGAAAUGCCCAUUUCACUCCAUGCCCAACGAAGCCCAGCUCCUUGCCCUCAGAGGGCAUCAGGUUUUCCCAUGAGACAGCUUCUUCCUCCAGCUCUGCCCUCUGGCUACUGCUUAUCUCCCUGAUAAAUGGCCCCACUGUCCUGCCAGAGGAAGAGCUGUCUGUGUCCUUCAGAGCCCUCCCGGCUCCGGCAGGGCCCCAUCGGUGAGGACCUGGGCCUCGGCACGUCGGCAUGGUGGCCGGAGAGAGAUCCCAGGCCACUGACCCAAGUCCUGCCAGUUGGGUUGGGGGCCCCGGCCCCAGGGAGGUGGCUGUCUCGCUGCCAGCUGUCUUUCUGGGGGGACUCUGGUCUGAAGCAUGAGAAAGGCCAGGUUUUGGUGAGUUCGAGUAGGCAAGGCCCUGAUCUCACAGGGCACUCACCAUCCUCUCCCAGGGCCCCCAGCCCCUGCAUACCCCCCACCUAUCACGCACGUAGCAGCGGGACACCCCAGCCGUGACCUGGCAGCAGAGACAGGCAGCUUUGAUCUGCACAUGACCCUAAUGUGACCGUCGGCAGACACUGGCUGGGGGCUGGAUCCCAUGUACAGGCCGUGAAGGGGGGCAGACAUGAGCAGGGACGUGUCUGCCGGGUCCUCUGGCACCUCCCAGCUAGAACAGCUGCCUGAACACUGGUCCUGGGGAGGGGCGGGGGUGACUGGCCCAGGCCCCCAGCAGAACGACUGGAGUCUCCAGGGCCCUGCGGGACAGGGUCAGGUUGCGCCCCUUUGCUGACAGAGAUGGGCUCAGAGAGCACACAUGGAGGACAUGUCUUCCCUUCCCUUUGGUCCACGGCCGAACAUGGGUCCAUUGAUCCCGCGUUUCCUCUGGCUUCAGCCUGACGCCGAUACAAGCAAAGGCAGGCUGUCUGUCCACGGCCAGAUCUGCAGUGUUCAGCCAACCCUUGGCACGUAGCUGGCUCUGAAGAAAUGUCUGUUGAUGAAUGAAUCUUGGCUCCACACACAUCUUUGAUACUCUAGGUUCUGGCAUCCAAACAUAAUGUUUCAUUGAAAAAAUUUCUGCACUUAUUUGGUGCUGAGGUAGCUCCCAACACACAGCCAGGGUCAUGCUAUUGCUGUUCACAUCAGAGCCGCCCUGAACUGGCUGCUGCCAAUGACUUUGGGGACCAGGCGUGGGGGUGGUUACCUUUUAGGGUCCAGGGUAAUCUUUGCAACAUCCUCAGCUUGUGGGUAUGAGAAUGUAUUUCAAUCUUACUAGCUGACGUCUG